rnacentral:rRNA from 1 species
UACGGAGGGUGCAAGCGUUGAUCGGAAUUACUGGGCGUAAAGCGCACGCAGGCGGUUGGAUAAGGUAGAAGUGAAAGCCCCGGGCUCAACCUGGGAAUUUCAUUUAAAACUGUCCAGCUAGAGUUUUGUUGAGGGGGGUAGAAUUCCAGGUGUAGCGGUGAAAUGCGUAGAGAUCUGGAGGAAUACCGGUGGCGAAGGCGGCCCCCUGGACAAAGACUGAAGCUCAGGUGCGAAAGCGUGGGGAGCAAACAGG